rnacentral:rRNA from 1 species
GCACUUUUUGUAGUCUUGAAGGUUGAGAGCGGUCAACUAUCGGAUGGCUGUUAUGGCCUUUCCGGAUGUGAGGAAUUGCUGAGUGCAAAAGCAUACAGCUCUUCUCAAAACGACUUGCAAUACCUCUCCUUCAAGUACUAUGUAUUCAUAUACCACAUAGUAUGUUGUAGAAUGUGAUCAAUGGGCUUAUGUGCCUAUAAUAAUCAUAUACAACUUUCAGCAACGGAUCUCUUGGCUCUCGCAUCGAUGAAGAACGCAGCGAAAUGCGAUAAGUAAUGUGAAUUGCAGAAUUCAGUGAAUCAUCGAAUCUUUGAACGCACCUUGCGCUCCUUGGUAUUCCGAGGAGCAUGCCUGUUUGAGUGUCAUUAAAUUCUCAACCCCUCUAGCUUUUGCGAGCUGCGAUGGGGCUUGGAUGUUGGGUUUGCGGGCCUUUAUUAAUAGAGGUCGGCUCUCCUGAAAUGCAUUAGCGGAACCGUUUGCAGUCCCGUCACUAGUGUGAUAAAUUAUCUACACUGUGAUGAUUGCUCUCUGACUAAUUCAGCUGCUAAU